rnacentral:rRNA from 1 species
AGUGAACGCUGGCGGUAGGCCUAACACAUGCAAGUCGAACGGCAGCACAGUAAGAGCUUGCUCUUACGGGUGGCGAGUGGCGGACGGGUGAGGAAUACAUCGGAAUCUACUUUUUCGUGGGGGAUAACGUAGGGAAACUUACGCUAAUACCGCAUACGACCUACGGGUGAAAGCAGGGGAUCUUCGGACCUUGCGCGAUUGAAUGAGCCGAUGUCGGAUUAGCUAGUUGGCGGGGUAAAGGCCCACCAAGGCGACGAUCCGUAGCUGGUCUGAGAGGAUGAUCAGCCACACUGGAACUGAGACACGGUCCAGACUCCUACGGGAGGCAGCAGGGGGGAAUAUUGGACAAUGGGCGCAAGCCUGAUCCAGCCAUACCGCGUGGGUGAAGAAGGCCUUCGGGUUGUAAAGCCCUUUUGUUGGGAAAGAAAAGCAGCAGGUUAAGACCCCGCUGUUCUGACGGUACCCAAAGAAGAAGCACCGGCUAACUUCGU